GGGUGUGAUCAUACCAACAUUAAUGCACCAGAUCCCAUCAAAACUCUGCAGUUAAGCAUGCUUGGGCUAGAAAAGAAAUGGGAUGGGUGACCUCAUGGGAAGUCCUAGUGUUUCACCCU
rfam:Picea glauca, whole genome shotgun sequence.